UGUGUGAGUCGUCUAUCUGAC
rnacentral:misc_RNA from 1 species